rnacentral:rRNA from 1 species
UGGGGAUGACGUCAAAUCAUCAUGCCCCUUAUGCUUAGGGCUACACACGUGCUACAAUGGGUAGUACAGAGGGUUGCCAAGCCGUAAGGUGGAGCUAAUCCCUUAAAGCUACUCUCAGUUCGGAUUGCAGGCUGAAACUCGCCUACAUGAAGCUGGAGUUACUAGUAAUCGCAGAUCAGAAUGCUGCGGUGAAUGCGUUCCCGGGUCUUGUACACACCGCCCGUCACACCACGGGAG